rnacentral:rRNA from 1 species
UACAGAGACUGCAAGCGUUGUUCGGAAUUACUGGGCGUAAAGGGCGCGUAGGCGGCCCUCUAAGUCGAACGUGAAAUCCCUGGGCUCAACCCAGGAACUGCGUCCGAGACUGGGGGGCUAGAAUCCGGGAGAGGGAUGUGGAAUUCCAGGUGUAGCGGUGAAAUGCGUAGACAUCUGGAGGAACAUCGGUGGCGAAGGCGGCAUCCUGGACCGGUAUUGACGCUGAGGCGCGAAAGCCAGGGGAGCAAACGGG